UACGUAGGGUGCAAGCGUUAAUCGGAAUUACUGGGCGUAAAGCGUGCGCAGGCGGUUGUGUAAGACAGAUGUGAAAUCCCCGGGCUCAACCUGGGAACUGCAUUUGUGACUGCACAGCUGGAGUGCGGCAGAGGGGGAUGGAAUUCCGCGUGUAGCAGUGAAAUGCGUAGAUAUGCGGAGGAACACCGAUGGCGAAGGCAAUCCCCUGGGCCUGCACUGACGCUCAUGCACGAAAGCGUGGGGAGC
rnacentral:rRNA from 1 species